UAUGCGCUAAUAUAAAGAAGGGGAUGUCAAUAUUUUAGCAUACCCACAAUCCUCUGCCUGGUGCCCGUCGCGAUGGUCUGUAUUGUGUGUGACAGUUUACGUAUCAAGACAGAAAUCUCGCUUCAUCGGCUUCGUCUUUCCUCUAAGUGACUAAAUUCCAAGUAAAUCUUAUCCCUGCUGUGCCCGGCAAGCCGCUUGCUGAGAGCAUGGAGCUGCAACAGCCACACGUGUCAGAAGACACACUCUGGAAGUUAUGGUAUUCGAACGAUCCACCGCCAAGACCGUCAGUGUACCGCUACGAAGCGUCCCUCUCCCCGACUCGUUGUUAUUCUUCACACACCUGAUGUCGCCCACUCCUCCCCUUAACUCCCCGAUCUAACCCUUCCCCAAGCUUCCCAGCCCGCCUCUCAGACCGUCCUCUCCACCUGUGCCAUCAAACAUUCGAAAUUUUCCCUCCGGCGGCGUCUUCGGCGGGAACAAGUGAAAGACGAGUUGGAGGAGGAAUAGAAGUUGAGGAGUGGGAGCAGAAUAAGAGAGAGUUUGAAGAGGAGCUGGGCAAGAAAAAUGAUAAUGAUGAAUAUUAACGAAGCAAAAAUGGGAAGCAGUGAGGAGGAAUACUUGGACAGGAAGAACGUCGCAAGAAAAAAAAUUAAAUAAUAAUGAAUAACCAAAAAAAAAAAAAAAAAAAAUCAGAAAGCAGAUAGACUGCAUCAAACAUGACAAAGAGUGAAGAAUAUCGAAAUACGUUAUUUUCCUUAACAGCAACAGAAGAGAAAACAUGAAACAAAGAGUGGCACAUCAAAGAAAAUAGAUAUAUCAGAAAAAUGAAGAAAUAAAAAAAUAAUAAAAAAA